UACGGAGGGUGCAAGCGUUGUUCGGAAUUACUGGGCGUAAAGCGCGUGUAGGCGGGUGAGGAAGUCGGGUGUGAAAUCCCUCGGCUCAACCGAGGAAUGGCGCUCGAAACCACUCACCUCGAGGUCCGGAGGGGAUCGGGGAAUUCCCAGUGUAGAGGUGAAAUUCGUAGAUAUUGGGAGGAACACCGGUUGCGAAAGCGCCGAUCUGGACAGAUUCUGACGCUGAAACGCGAAAGCGUGGGGAGCAAACAGG
rnacentral:misc_RNA from 1 species